rnacentral:rRNA from 1 species
AGCGGCGAACGGGUGAGUAACACGUAGGUGAUCUGCCCAUCAGACGGGGACAACGAUUGGAAACGAUCGCUAAUACCGGAUAGGACGAAAGUUUAAAGGUGCUUCUGGCACCGCUGAUGGAUGAGCCUGCGGCGCAUUAGCUAGUUGGUAGGGUAAAGGCCUACCAAGGCGACGAUGCGUAGCCGACCUGAGAGGGUGAACGGCCACACUGGGACUGAGACACGGCCCAGACUCCUACGGGAGGCAGCAGUAGGGAAUCUUCGGCAAUGGGCGAAAGCCUGACCGAGCAAUGCCGCGUGAAUGAUGAAGGCCUUCGGGUUGUAAAAUUCUGUUAUAAGGGAAGAACGACUUUAGUAGGAAAUGGCUAGAGUGUGACGGUACCUUAUGAGAAAGCCACGGCUAACUACGUGCCAGCAGCCGCGGUAAUACGUAGGUGGCGAGCGUUAUCCGGAAUUAUUGGGCGUAAAGAGCGCGCAGGUGGUUGAUUAAGUCUGAUGUGAAAGCCCACGGCUUAACCGUGGAGGGUCAUUGGAAACUGGUCGACUUGAGUGCAGAAGAGGGAAGUGGAAUUCCAUGUGUAGCGGUGAAAUGCGUAGAGAUAUGGAGGAACACCAGUGGCGAAGGCGGCUUCCUGGUCUGUAACUGACACUGAGGCGCGAAAGCGUGGGGAGCAAACAGGAUUAGAUACCCUGGUAGUCCACGCCGUAAACGAUGAGUGCUAAGUGU